CUUCUAAAACAGGCCAGAAGUACAUACAGGUCAACAGAGGGGAGGCUAUGAGUAAUGAGCCAAUAGAAAGAAAUCAAGGUGGCAGCUUAUCCAGAUCAAUAUUUUACCGUGUAAUGUGAGCCGCUGUCAGAUAUCUGUGGAGGUAAACUAUGUCAGUCGGUCAGUGUGUCGACUAACUUUUCCCCUGUGACCAUUUUUUCUCUUGCCCUCCUUCUAUCCUCUGCUUUUUUUUCAUUUCACCUGUGAUUCUCUCCCUGGCUAAUUUUCCCAGGCUCUCAGUGACUUCUGCACAGAUCCAAACAUAUUUGUUCUUAACUCCACCAACUUCAACACUGGGACAAGCUCAGAUGUGUUGGAUUAUUACCUGACCUGCAGCAGGCGCAUGAACAGUCCGUUCCAACAGGUGAUGACACAGUCGCAGAGGGCGCUGUCCAACAUCCACACACACCUCUCCAAUCUGGACAGAAACGCUCUCACACAGUUCCCCAAAGCUGAGAAAUCACUCAGGGAGGUUCAGCAGAUACUCAACUCCACAGAGGGAAACUUCCAUCAACUGGUGGCACUGCUGAACUGUCGAGGUCUGA